GACGAACGCUGGCGGCGUGCUUAACACAUGCAAGUCGAACGGAAAGGCCCUGCUUUUGUGGGGUGCUCGAGUGGCGAACGGGUGAGUAACACGUGAGUAACCUGCCCUUGACUUUGGGAUAACUUCAGGAAACUGGGGCUAAUACCGGAUAGGAGCUCCUGCUGCAUGGUGGGGGUUGGAAAGUUUCGGCGGUUGGGGAUGGACUCGCGGCUUAUCAGCUUGUUGGUGGGGUAGUGGCUUACCAAGGCUUUGACGGGUAGCCGGCCUGAGAGGGUGACCGGCCACAUUGGGAUUGGGAUACGGCCCAGACUCCUACGGGAGGCAGCAGUGGGGAAUAUUGCACAAUGGGCGGAGGCCUGAUGCAGCAACGCCGCGUGCGGGAUGACGGCCUUCGGGUUGUAACCCGCUUUCGCCUGUGACGAAGCGUGAGUGACGGUAAUGGGUAAAGAAGCACCGGCUAACUACGU
rnacentral:rRNA from 1 species